CCCUACGGGGUGCAGCAGGCGUCGUCGAGCAGGACUCCGUUGGUCUGCAACGCGUUGGAGACGGACUGGCCGUUGCGGCCGUACUGCUGCUGAAACUCGACCAGUUUGCGAAAGAACUUCACGCCCGCCAGCGUGGGCUCGCCGCCCUGGAAGGCGAAGGUGGAGGCGGGGUAGGAGUAGAACAGGUAAGAAUCCACCAGUCGCCGCAGCGUCUCCUCCGACAUCAGGCGCGCGGGCAGUUCUUUGUACGGGUCGGCUGCGCGAUCCAGGUAGAAACAGUAGGCACAAUCCAGGUUGCAGACGGCCGAGGCGGGCUUGAUGAGCAGCGAAGAGAUGCGCGGCGCCUGACCGCUGAUGGAGGCCGUCGAAUAGGCUUCCUCGAAGAUUGGAAAUGCGGGCCCAGGCGUCAUAUGGUGAGAGUAUCAUCAUGACCCCAGCGGAAUUGGCGGGAGGGC
rnacentral:rRNA from 1 species